CUUUACCACUACCAGCACCAAAAGCAACAGAUCAUUGCUAUGGAAAGGGGUGGUGUGCCGGACAAUCGUCCUGGAUCCGUCUCCGAGCCGGAGUCCGAUGAGAACGAAGAAGGAGACUACACCGUGUACGAAUGUCCCGGGUUCGCUACCACUGGUGAUAUGGAGGUUAAGAAUCCGAUGUUCUCGGACGAUCCGACGCCCGCCACUCCCGGCAAGUGCGAGAUCGUGCGACCCCAGCCCAAAGAGUAAACAUCUGUGGAUCCAGCCUCUCUGCACAUUCUACUCUAUGAACGAGGACAACGCUAUUACUCUAUUUCCACAACAUAUACUUUGUGCUGAUCGAUCUCAUGUAAUCGAUCCCUUUUUAAUUACUUUGUAGUUGUAAUUCAAUUAUAUUUAAUCGAUAAUGAUAUUAAAUGAUCUAUGUGAAAAUUAUUUCAUGUCGAAGAUUUAAUUAUGUUAAAUCAUGUCUAUGUACAAUACAAACUUUAUGGCGGCACGAAAUUUCGAAUAUGUUAGGUAUCGGUGUUUGGUGGGGGAUUUCGGGGGUUCGCAGCUAACCAAAGCUGCAUGCUUGUAUAUUGUAAUGCUAUAUUUCAGUGAACAGUAUGUUAUGUGUUUAUUCCUGGGUCAGGAGUGCUUAAAGCGCGGCCCGUUACUUCCUUUUAUUAUCGUUAAUAACUUCUAUAGUCUACUGAGUUAUGUUUUUAUUAUGUAAGAUUG